GAGCGAUACUGAGCUUCUCGUCGCGGAAAGAGACUACAACGGAUAUGAGCUUUGCGAGGAGGAAGGAGAAAAUGAGGCCUAUGAAAACUGAUUGUACGAAUUGGAAGAGUUGUUUCGAAUCAGAGAGAGAGAGAGAGAGAGAGAGAGAAAUCUCGGAGAACCCUGUGGAGAAGUACGAUGCUGAAACCCUAGAAAAGUGGACGAGGUUUUAGGUAUGUGUGUAGAAUUAGAACGGGAAUUGAGCUGUUUGACAAUUCCGACAGUUCUUCCUUGGAGAGAGAGAGAGAGAGA